rnacentral:rRNA from 1 species
AACGAACGCUGGCGGCGUGGAUUAGGCAUGCAAGUCGAACGUGAGGGACCCUUCGGGGUUCUGAAAGUGGCAAACGGGUGAGUAACGCGUGGGAAACCUGCCCUUGUGUUGGGGAUAACACUCCUAACGGGGUGCUAAUACCGAAUGAGAUUUUCGGAUCGCAUGGUCUGGAGAUGGAAGGCGGCCUCUGCUUGCAUGCUGUCGCACAAGGAUGGUCCCGCGUCCCAUUAGCUAGUUGGUGGGGUAACGGCCUACCAAGGCAGUGAUGGGUAGCCGGCCUUAGCGGGUGUCCGGCCACACUGGGACUGAGAUACGGCCCAGACUCCUACGGGAGGCAGCAGUGAGGAAUAUUGGUCAAUGGGCGGAAGCCUGAACCAGCCAUCCCGCGUGAAGGAAGACAGCCUUACGGGUUGUAAACUUCUUUUCUGUCAGAAGAAUAAGCUUGUCGAGACGAGUGAUGCCGGUAUGACAGGAAUAAGCAUCGGCUAACUCCGUGCCAGCAGCCG